GUGGGACGAGCGGUGGCAGCGGGGUAUCGCUCGUCGCUCCGGUGUUAAGGUGGUGGGAAAUGGUCGUGCUGUGGUGGUUACGGCUCUCCCACGUCCCUUUCGUGCUUAGAGGUGCAGAGCUGCUAUUAUAAGGCCUGAGGCUUCUAAGAAGUAUGUUCUGAAAGCAUAAGCCAUACCUGGUAUAGAAGCUGAAGAUGUCCUUGCUUAUGGCAGGGGGAUUGGAAUUAGAUGCUCUUUAAGGUCCCUUCCAAUACAAACCAUUCUAUGAUG